rnacentral:rRNA from 1 species
UGCCAGCCGCCGCGGUAAUACGGAGGGUGCGAGCGUUAAUCGGAAUUACUGGGCGUAAAGGGCGCGUAGGUGGCUAGAUUAGUCGGGUGUGAAAGCCCCGGGCUUAACUCGGGAAUUGCAUUCGAUACUGCCUAGCGAGAGUGCAGUAGAGGGAAGCGGAAUUCCGGGUGUAGCGGUGAAAUGCGUAGAUAUCCGGAGGAACACCAGUGGCGAAGGCGGCUCCCUGGCCAAAGACUGACGCUCAUGUGCGAAAGUGUGGGUAGCGAACAGGAUUAGAUA